rnacentral:rRNA from 1 species
CCUACGGGGGGCAGCAGUGGGGGAUAUUGGACAAUGGGGGAAACCCUGAUCCAGCGACGCCGCGUGAGUGAAGAAGUAUUUCGGUAUGUAAAGCUCUAUCAGCAGGGAAGAAAGAAAUGACGGUACCUGAGUAAGAAGCCCCGGCUAACUACGUGCCAGCAGCCGCGGUAAUACGUAGGGGGCAAGCGUUAUCCGGAAUUACUGGGUGUAAAGGGAGCGUAGACGGUAAUGCAAGUCUGGAGUGAAAUGCCGGGGCCCAACCCCGGAACUGCUCUGGAAACUGUGAAGCUGGAGUGCAGGAGAGGUAAGCGGAAUUCCUGGUGUAGCGGUGAAAUGCGUAGAUAUCAGGAGGAACACCGGCGGCGAAGGCGGCUUACUGGACUGUAACUGACGUUGAGGCUCGAAGGCGUGGGGAGCAAACAGGAUUAGAUACCCGAGUAGUC